rnacentral:lncRNA from 1 species
CACAGAGGAGAGAGCCCACGCAGGGCGCAUUGUGUCGAGAUCAGCCCCUAGCGACGGUGUUAUAAGGAAUUCAAAACGAAGCACCCCUCUUCGCAAAAAUAUUGCUCGUGACAGGCGUUGCAUGCGCAAUGAACGGUUUUGCUGUUGAUUCCAAGUAGCCUACAGUAUAAAAUGAGUCCGCGUCAUUCCCUGACAUCUUCCUUCGAGAGAGGGCUGGAAUCUCAGGAUCAUCAAAGCGUGGGAUCAGGAUCGAUUGACAGAGUGGGUUCCCCUGGACACUUGUUAUCACAGCUCUCCAAAAGCUGCUGUGGUGAUGAAGAGAAGGGCCAUUGAUGAGACAAUAACUCCACAGUCCACCCAAAAGAGAGGUUUAGAAUCAGAACUGGCCAUAUCUAUAGCCUGGCCUUGAUUAGGGUUGAAUCUGUGACAAGUGCCUCACACUCCAAUAGAGAGAAUCAACCGCAGACUCAGUCCAAUAGAUAAUAUUCUUCUAAAAUUAGUUGCCACUGGCAACCCUUUAGCAGCAUAGACAGACCAACCUAAGCUGUGGUGAUGGAGAGGACCACUGCUGACCCCACUACAUCACCAAGUGACAGGUCAUUAAGACAGUUGGCUCAUCAAAAGCCUUUCCUAAUGGGGUAAUUGUAGAGAGGGAGUGAGUGUUGAGUGGUACUGCCUAAGCCUAUCAUGAAGUCAGUGACCGAGCGGUUUCCCUUGUAAUCAAACUGCUGAACCUACAUUUUUAAAUCAAAAUGUGUCCUAUCACGGGUCAUUAAAUGUUCAAGAAACGCUGACUGACAACCUCACCCAAAAUUGCCAAAUCCAUAUAAAUAAAUAAUCAAUCUUUGCAUGUGGAUUCUGUUUUUGGAAUUGAUAAUUGAAGCAGAUCACAAUCCCUACCAGUUUGUCAAUACACUCUGCUUCAGUGCACAAUUUAAAAAAAACAUUUUUAUUUCACCUUUAUUUCACCAGGUAGGCUAGUUGAGAACAAGUUCUCAUUUACAACUGCGACCUGGCCAAGAUAAAGCAAAGCAGUGUGACAUAGAUAACAUAGAGUUACACAUGGAGUAAACAAUAAACAAGCCAAUAACACAAUAAACAAGUCAAUGAUACAGCAGAAAAAAAGAAAGUCUAUAUACAGUGUGUGCAAAAGGCAUGAGGAGGUAGGCAAUAAAUAGGCCAUAGUAGCGAAGAAUUACAAUUUAUCAGAUUAACACUGGAGUGAUAAAUGAGCAGAUGAUGAUGUGCAAGUAGAGAUACUGGUGUGCAAAUGAGCAGAAAAGUAAAUAAAAUAAAAACAGUAUGGGGAUGAGGUAGGUAGAUUGGGUGGGCUAUUUACAGAUGGACUAUGUACAGCUGCAGCGAUCGGUUAGCAGCUCAGGUAGCUGAUGUUUAAAGUUGGUGAGAGAAAUAAAAGUCUCCAACUUCAGCAAUUUUUGCAAUUGAUGUCUUCAUCAUCCUGCUGUACGGUUGAGGCUGUUUGAUGGGAGGAAGCUGAGGAGUGAGCACAUGCAACACAGUCAGAUCGUAACAUAUCUCCCUGUCUUGUCACAUCACUGCAACUUAAGCUGUACUUAAACAGGUUGAACAUGAAUGUCAGGAGUCAGGACACAUGUCCCAUCAAGAGGAAUGCCUCAGGGUCAGAAGUUAAACUGACUUGGCUAGUUAAAUAAAGGUUCAAUAAAAUAAAAUAAACAUUUAACUAGGUUAGUUUUCUUGAGAUGAAAAUCCUUUUUUCAAGAGAGAUCUGUGGGUGCGAGGGGGCUCUUUGUUUGCAAACAGGGAUCUGUUGAAAAACACUCAGGGACAUGGUACCUGCUAGUUUUCUGGCGGGGCCAGAGGGAGUGUCAGAUAGCCAGCAGCUGAAGUGUGCCAGCUCCUCAUGGCUGAUUUCCAGCAGAACAGCCGGGGGCCCACCAGAGGCAUCGGCAUUAUCCUCAGAGAGACAAUAGAGACAGAACGGGAGCGAUUCUAUUUCCCUCCUCCGCUUAGGCCACGUACAAACAUGUCUAGUUUAAUAGCCAUAUUUCAAGGCUUGUGAGUAACAAUAUAAGCCAUGAGAUUUUGACAUUGGAAGAUGCGUGGUUUAAUGUAAUGCCCCAUGCACAUCUGAUUAUGCCUGUCUUCCUGAGAUGGAGAGAGGUAGUGAGGAAAUGAGUGGAAAAUGACUCACAACUCUAGAGUUUAAUCUCCACAUCCCUCUUCUCACUUCUGGGGUACGGCAAGGAUGAGUCACCAGACUAUGAGCUGGGAGCACAUGAGGGAUGAGGAGCCCAUCCUGAAAUAUAAUCAGGUGGAUGCUGCCUUUAUGAUGAAUGGUGUCUGCAUAAUGCUUGCAUUUUCAGGUUGCCAAAGUCAGGAUUGCAAUUGUUCAAUGACUCAAUUUAAAUAGGCCUACACAUGCAACAGAUCAUGUUGGAAUUAAAUCGAUUUUUUUCUGAAGAUGCCUGUAGAUUUGUAUUUGUUUUCAUCAUGCUAAGAGACCAUAGGUACAAUUGCGUCCUAUUUAUGUGUGAAGUGUUGUUUGUACAGUAUGUGUGUGAGUGUGUACUUAUCAUUUGUAUGUGUUUGUGUGCCAGCCCUCUCCAGUCCCUUCUCUUAUUGGCUCUAUUUGGAUGAAAUUGCCGUGUCUGCAGGGUAGUGACAGCGCAAGUGCUUGGUGGUCACAGGAGGGUCUUUCCUGUUUGUUACCCAAAGGGGCUGAAUCUGGAAAUAUGCCUCCCUAGAGGAAGUGGUGGUGGCUGUGAGACCUAGGGAGGGCCAUCCUCUCUCAUCCGAAGAGAGGUGAAGCCGCCUCUUUGUUCCUCACAGAUGGCCACACAGAUGGUUCCUGCUGACCCGUUCAUAUGACUGAAAACAGGGCUAAUACUGUAUGGCACAUUUCCAUACAGGAUUUACCCCAGUGCUUUACCCAAAAGGCUCAAACUUUCCAUCUACGCAGGCCGACAGCCGUGUCUCACUGGGCCAUGGCUCCGGCGGACAUGCUCUCACUUGGAGCCAAAGCCAGGCC